rnacentral:rRNA from 1 species
UACGUAGGUGGCAAGCGUUGUUCGGAAUUAUUGGGCGUAAAGGGCGCGUAGGCGGUCUUGUAAGUCAGCUGUGAAAGCCCGGGGCUCAACCCCGGAGGGUCGGCUGAUACUGCAGGACUGGAGUACGGAAGAGGUAGCUGGAAUUCCCGGUGUAGCGGUGAAAUGCGUAGAUAUCUGGAGGAACACCGGUGGCGAAGGCGACAUCCUGGACCGGUAUUGACGCUGAGGCGCGAAAGCGUGGGGAGCAAACAGG